AGAGGCCGCACGUGAGCCAUUUUAGAGACGAGUGAGCCUGAGCAAACGGAGACUGUUUCACAGGCUGCCACGAGAUAUGUUUGAGCACCAGUUUUAAAAUGAACAUACACAUCGAGGAGCCUACGUGACCGACGAAAUGUCUUUCAGAGACACGGUUUCUGCGCCUGGCGAACGCUGCUCGCGAGUUGUUCCUGAGAAUUGAAUCAGCCGCCAGGAGUUUUCCACAGACGCGGCGAACCGGAGCUCUGACCAGGCGACAUUUUCCACAGACUGUUAUGCUGUUCAUUGUAAUUAUGGCGUGUUCUUCAGACCCUCCAAGGAUUCUAUAAUCCAUUUUUUUUCGGUGUUCUGACCAGAGGAGGACAGAAAAAUGAAGCUUAACUAAAGCUCAGUCAGGAAGACUACGUCCUUGUGCAUCAUACCAUCUGAGUCAAGCUCAGUUUCCCGCUAAUUCCAAGCUCCACCACCUCUCUCCUGCCUUCAUCCAAUCGCAGACCGACACGCUCACGCUCGAGCCAAUCACUCGUUAACUGUCAAACUUUAAAUGUGCUCACCUUCUCUGCUGUCGUUCAGCUAUCUGUUCAGCAAUGCUAAGCUCAACAACAGCUUCUAAUCAUCAAGAUCGCUUCCCACAGGGAUCUGCUUCCUGCCAGGACCUAAAGUGCCUAAAGUCUCUUCUAGCUGUUUUCAAUAAAUUAUUUCAAAUUUUCUCAUUCCUUUUCUUCCUUGUAGUCUCUCCUGAUUGAAUUAGCAUCCCAAAUAUUACUGUUAUUGUGAAUUAGGGUUGCCCUUUGAGCAUCCCGAGCUAGUGUUAGCUUUUCAUGUUACCCAUGUUAACCACUGUUAGCUGUUAACUGCUUUUUAAAGACUAUUAAAAUGUAUUGU